rnacentral:rRNA from 1 species
CGGCGGGCGGGUGAGUAACACGUGAGUAACCUGCCUUAGACAUAGGGAUAGCCUCGGGAAACCGGGAUUAAUACCAAAUGAAAUCACAUAUGCACAUGCAUAAAUGAUCAAAGCUCCGGCGGUCUAAGAUGGACUCGCGUCCCAUUAGCUAGUUGGUGAGGUAACGGCCCACCAAGGCGACGAUGGGUAGCCGGCCUGAGAGGGUGAACGGCCACAUUGGAACUGAGAAACGGUCCAAACUCCUACGGGAGGCAGCAGCA